UACUCCUACGGGAGGCAGCAGUAGGGAAUCUUCCACAAUGGACGCAAGUCUGAUGGAGCAACGCCGCGUGAGUGAAGAAGGCUUUCGGGUCGUAAAACUCUGUUGUUGGAGAAGAAUGGUCGGCAGAGUAACUGUUGUCGGCGUGACGGUAUCCAACCAGAAAGCCACGGCUAACUACGUGCCAGCAGCCGCGGUAAUACGUAGGUGGCAAGCGUUAUCCGGAUUUAUUGGGCGUAAAGCGAGCGCAGGCGGUUUUUUAAGUCUGAUGUGAAAGCCCUCGGCUUAACCGAGGAAGUGCAUCGGAAACUGGGAAACUUGAGUGCAGAAGAGGACAGUGGAACUCCAUGUGUAGCGGUGAAAUGCGUAGAUAUAUGGAAGAACACCAGUGGCGAAGGCGGCUGUCUGGUCUGUAACUGACGCUGAGGCUCGAAAGCAUGGGUAGCGAACAGGAUUAGAUACCCUGGUAGUCCAUGCCGUAAACGAUGAAUGCUAGGUGUUGGAGGGUUUCCGCCCUUCAGUGCCGCAGCUAACGCAUUAAGCAUUCCGCCUGGGGAGUACGACCGCAAGGUUGAAACUCAAAUGAAUUGACGGA
rnacentral:rRNA from 1 species